GCGGUGGGUCUACGGCCACAAUGUCGGCCCACCAGUAGGAGUUGUAUGUGGAUGAUUGUCUCCGUGAUAUUCAUCUAGGGUUACUACUACCUGUGCUAUGUUUAUGUGCUAGUAUGAUAUGAUGCUAUGUGUUAGUGGCAGUAGGGGAGAUAGUCCCUAAGAUAACCGGUCGAUAGGGCCGAAGGGGUAGUUAUACCCAGCCAUGCUAGAUAGAUUCUGAUAUUGUGGUACAUGUUAUGUGGUAGUAGUAGAGGGGAGAAGUAGUCUCCAGUACCCAGUCGAGAGGACCGAAGGGGAGGCCAGCACCCAGAUAUGCUAGGCAGUAUCCGGUCGAGAGGACCGAAGGGGGAGGCCAGCACCUAGGUAUGCUAGGCAAUAUCCGGUCGAGAGGACCGAAGGGGUAGGUCAGGCACCCAGAUAUGCCUAACAAUAUAUGUAUGUUAUGUGAUUAUUAUGGUAUGUGGUACAGUGGGGGAACUCACUAAGCUUUGUGCUUACGUUGCUCAGUUGUUGUUUCAGGUACCUCUUCAGCCAAGGGGAAGGAGUAGGCGCGGUAGCGGCUCAUCACACACACUCUUGUUUCCGCAGUUAUGAGUUUAUUCUGGGAUUGACACUCUUAUAUUAUGGUUGUUUAAAUGAUUGUGGAUUUCAAUUUGGUUUUCGAUGUGAAAUGGUUUAAUCAAACAAUGUUUUAAUUAUUAAUGUUUUCUAAGUAAUGUUUUAUAACGAAAUUUUUGGACAUGAAAACCGGGUCGUUACAAGUUGGUAUCAGAGCCCUGGUUUGAGGGAUUCGGACACACCUUCGGGGGUGUCUGAACUCAAAUCGAGGUAUUGAAAGAUUUUCUAAAGGAAAAUGUUUUCAAAUUUUUUUUUGAGAAAAGAGUUUUGAGAAAGAACGAAGUGUGUGAUGUGCGCGACCGGCCGAGCUCAAGUAAGUAUUCCCCAAAGUACCCAUACAAGUUUAUGUUAUGUUUAUCAGCUUUUGUAGAACAGCAUGCUAGAAUAGGACUAAGGAUCUAGGAGCGAUGCCUUAUGUGCCUGCUUUAUGUGUUUCAGUUGUAUGAAAAUUGCAUGCUAGAGUCGAGUAGACAGCAGUAGGAUAGCCUGUUAGGUUAUGCCUGAUAGUAUGAGUUUAGCUCUGUAUGCUAGAUCAGUUCUUCUCUAUAAGAGAGGAUUUGCUUGAAAUUGUUCCCUUAGUUCUAAUUCUGAUUGCUUUGUGCUUUGUGGGACUCUGAGUGGUGGGAGUUAGCCAUUAGGUGAAUACGUCACGUUACAUGUGAUCAGGGUUGAAUAAUCUUAGAGUGCUGGAUUUGGCCCUAUUGCGCAACUCUCGUUUGAGUCUAACCGUUGUAGGGAUGAACCUGAUACUCGAAGGAUUAUCCGAGCCUCACCACAUGUGAUGGUAUUUAGGUAAUGGUUAAUUGGCACUACUAAGAGGCCUUCAGCAGCUGAGGACUUGGUAGGGUGGAGCCUGAGAUUUCCCUAGGGAAACCCUAGGAUGAGUAUAGUAGUGAUCAGCCGUAGUGGAAGGGAUCUGGUGGAGUCGAGGCAGUCCUUGAAGAAGGUACGGACAGAUGUGGAAGGUAGUAUGGGCCCGUACUACUGAAAGCAGAUGAUCCGUACCCGAGCCAAGGGAGGCCAAGAUGAGACCAAGGAACUUGUGGUAGAUGUGUUCCCUCAAGAAGUAUUAGUAUCACGAACAGUUAUUAUUCCUGUAUUGCAAAACGGUGGUACUACGUUUGAGGCCGAUAGAUGACGGUUCAGGAGAGGGGUCAGGUUCGGGAUCAGGUUCCGAGCCAGUCGAUGAGGGACUACGUGCGUUCAUCACGUCAGAGAUUAUCAUAGGCAUCCUUGAGUCGACCCCCAUCAUCUUUGGGUCGAUCAAGGAGGGGAUCAUCGAGUUGAUGGAGGAUCGCCUUAGGGCGUUCAGGAGCGACAUGGCAUCUGGCCAGUCGGGACCUCGCACGCUGUCCUUUAAGGACUUCAGGGGCAGUGGUGCGCCAGAUUUCCACGGGGUGAAAGACCCCAUUGCUGCCAGGCGAUGGAUUGCAGACAUUGAGUCUGCAUAGUUGACUAGCUUCUGCCUCGAGGGAUCGAAGGUGAGGUAUGCAACAGGGUGUUUACGGGACCGAGCUCGAGAUUGGUAGGAGUCAGUGGGUGACUCGUUGGGAGCCUUAGCUAUCGAGGCUAUGACCUGGUCGGACUUUGUGACUAGGUUCAGGGCGGAGUUUGCACCGGCUAUCGAGCUUCAGCAGCUGGCCAGGGAGUUUUUGGACAUGAGACAGACGACGGAGACUGUGGCGGAGAUCACCGCCAAGUUCCNNNNNNNNNNNNNNNNNNNNNNNNNNNNNNNNNNNNNNNNNNNNNNNNNNNNNNNNNNNNNNNNNNNNNNNNNNNNNNNNNNNNNNNNNNNNNNNNNNNNNNNNNNNNNNNNNNNNNNNNNNNNNNNNNNNNNNNNNNNNNNNNNNNNNNNNNNNNNNNNNNNNNNNNNNNNNNNNNNNNNNNNNNNNNNNNNNNNNNNNNNNNNNNNNNNNNNNNNNNNNNNNGGCUUGUAGGUUGGGAUCGUCGGGCUACUAUAAGUGCGGCAAGACGGGGCAUUUCAGCAGGGAUUGUACCGCCCUGCACCUAUGAUUCUGACAUCGGAGUUGAUGUGUUUCCACUGCAACCAGAGGGGCCACAAGAAGGCCAAUUGCCCCUAGUUGACAGCAUCAUCGCCGGCUAAGGUGCUAGCUCUAGCUACCCUUCGGAUUACAGAUGGCCGGCAGGUCAAGGCAGAGGCUCCAGUGGUUAGGAGCCGGGCAUUUCAGCUGACUACCGAGGAGGCACGUGCCGCACCCGAUGUGGUGACGGGUAUGAUUAUUUCCCUCUAUUUUAUUUUUACGAUGCUAUGUUAUUGAUAUGUGCUCUGUGUGUAUAUGUAUGCAUUAGGAUCGUUCCAUGUGAACGACAUCCCAGUUCAGGUGUUGUUCGACUUGGGAGCAUCCCGAUCAUUUGUUUCCCUUGUGCUUAGCAAGAAGUUUCCUGACUCUUCGGGCGAGUUAGAUUGCCCUUUGGAGGUAGAGAUUGCUGAUGAUCGAUCGGUGCGAGCAUCGAUGGUGUUUCGGGAUUGCAUAUUGCGUUUGUUUGAGGAGCGCUAUUUGGUAGACUUGGUUCCCAUCCCGUUGCGUGGGAACAUGGUGAUUAUAGGCAUGGAUUGGUUGAGCCCCAAUGGGGCGGUGAUAGAUUGCGCGCAACAACUAGUGCGAGUCAGGACCCCAGGUGGGGGAGAGUUAGUGAUUCAUGGUGAGAGGCCACAAUAUGGACCCACAGUCUGUUCGGCAGGGAGGGCUAGACGAUACCUUCAGCAGUGAUGCACAGGAUAUGUCAUGUACGUGAUGGAUACCCGGGACGCGGGUAAGGCGACGGUGAGUGAGGUUCCGAUGGUGCGAGAUUUCGCAGAUGUUUUUCCAGAUGAGCUUCCUGGGAUACCUCCGGAGUGACAGGUUGAGUUUCAAAUCGACCUCGUUCCUGGUGCGGCUCCGAUAGCCAAGGCACCGUAUCGGUUGGCUCCUCCUGAGAUGCAGGAGUUGUCUACACAGCUGCAGGAGCUGUUAGACAAGGGAUUCAUUCGACCGAGUAGUUCACCCUGGGGAGCCCCGAUUUUGUUCGUGAAAAAGAAGGACAGGUCGCAUUGGAUGUGUAUAGAUUACCGGGAGCUGAACAAGGUAACGGUGAAGAACCGUUACCCACUCCCGAGGAUUGAUGACCUCUUUGACCAGCUUCAGGGAGCAUCUUGGUUCUCCAAGAUUGAUUUACGUUCAGGUUAUCAUCAGAUGAGGGUCAGGGAGGAGGAUACGCAGAAGACCGCAUUUCGGACGCGCCAUGGCCAUUAUGAGUUCGUGGUGAUGCCUUUUGGGCUCACCAAUGCUCCUGCCGUGUUCAUGGACCUCAUGAACCGCGUAUGUAGACCGAUGUUGGAUCGGUCUGUGAUAGUCUUUAUGGAUGACAUCUUGCUUUAUUCCAAGACACAGGAAGAGCAUGAGGAGCAUCUGCGAGAGGUAUUGGAGACCCUAAGGAGGGAGAGCUUGUAUGCCAACUUCUCCAAGUGUGAGUUUUGGUUGCGUGAGGUGCAAUUUCUCGGACACCUUGUCAACCAGAACGGGAUUCUGGUCGAUCCAACCAAGGUCGAGGCCGUGAUGAGAUGGGAGGUUCCAAAGUCUCCAUCUGAGAUUCGGAGUUUCCUAGGAUUGGCAGGCUAUUAUCGGAGAUUAAUCCAGGACUUCUCCAAGAUAGCUGUACCCCUGACGCGGCUGACGAAGAAAGCCGUAGUCUUUCGGUGGGGACCCGAGCAGCAGGCUGCGUUUGAGACGCUGAGACGAAGAUUGUGUGAGGCGCCAAUUUUAGCCCUGCCAGAGGGCGUAGAGGAUUUUGUGGUAUACUGUGACGCGUCCAUUUCAGGGCUGGGCACGGUACUGAUGCAGAGGGGGCAUGUCAUUGCCUACGCUUCGAGGCAGCUUAAGCCUCACGACGCGAACUACCUGAUGCAUGAUUUGGAGUUGGGGCGGUGGUUUUUGCGCUCAAGAUUUGGCGACAUUACCUCUACGGGGUUCGAUGUACCAUCUACACAGACCACAAGAGUUUGAGGUAGCUCAUGGAUCAGCCGUAUCUGAACAUGAGGCAACGUCGGUGGUUGGACGUGGUGAAGGAUUAUGAUUGAGAGAUCCUUUACCACCCGGGGAUGGCCAACGUGGUGGCCGAUGCGCUUAGCCGCAAGGGGGCGCCGAUCAGGGAUAUUUGCAUGAGGAUGACCGUAGUGACUCCCUGUUGGAGCAUAUUCGGGAGGCUCAACAGGAGGCUAUCAAGGAGGAACAUCGAAAGAGCAAGCGUGUGGUGGGUCAGGUUUUCUCCUUCGAUUAUGAUAGCCGAGGGCUAUUGACACUACACUGUAGGGUGUGGGUGCCGUAUCACGGAGGCGUGCGCCAGAUCUUGAUGGAGGAGGCGCACAAGUCCCGAUUCUCUAUUCAUCCCGGGGCGACGAAGAUGUAUAGGGAUCUUCGUCCAGAUUAUAAGUGGCCCUGCAUGAAGCGGGAUAUGGCAUGGUACGUUGAGCGGUGCUUGCCCUGCAGGAAGGUCAAGGUAGAACCUCAGAGACCGCAUGGCAAGAUGCAGUCGUUGUACAUCCCGUUGUGGAAAUGGGAAGAUAUCACGAUGGAUUUUAUCACGAAGCUUCCCAGGACCGCGCGUGGAGUGGAUUCGAUUUGGGUCAUCGUGGAUCGAUUAACCAAGAGUGCUCACUUUAUCCCGAUUCAGGAGAGCAUAUCGGCCGAGAAAUUGGCCGACAUCUACAUCAGGGAGAUCGUGACGCGGCAUGGGGUGCCAGUAUCGGUUAUUUCGGACAGUGAUGUACGUUUUACUUCCAGGUUUUGGAAGAGAUUUCAUGAUGAGUUGGGCACUCGUUUACAUUUUAGCACCGCCUUUCACCCGCAGACGGAUGGUCAGAGCAAGCGGACCAUCCAAAAUUUAGAGGAUAUGUUGCGGGCAUGCGUGUUGGAUUUCGGUGGUAGCUGGGAUACCUAUCUUCCCUUGGCCGAGUUCUCAUACAGCAACAGCUACCACGCGAGUAUUGACCGUCCCCCAUUUGAGAUGUUGUACGGUCGGAGGUGCAGGACCCCGAUAUGCUGGGGUGAAAUUGGCCAAAGAGUCAUGGGGAGCACCGAGGUGGUGCUCAAGACUACCGAGAGGAUUCAGCAGGUUCGUAGCAGGCUUUAGACCGCGUAGAGUCGGCAGAAAAUUUACGCCAACAAGCGCCAAUCCGACCUGGAGUUCCAGGUUGGGGAUAUCGUUCUCCUGAAGGUAUCGCCUUGGAAGGGCGUCAUUCGAUUCAGGAAGCGGGGUAAGUUGGGCCCGAGGUAUAUUGGGCCAUACAUGGUUGUAGCCCGGGUGGGCAAGGUGGCGUAUAGGCUGGAUCUGCCAGCCGAGCUCAGCCAGAUCCACAGCACUUUCCAUGUUUCUCAGCUGCGGAAGUGCCUAGUGGACGAUUCAGCGGUAGUGCCGUUGGAGGAUAUUCAGGUUGAUGACAGCCUGAAUUACAUUGAGCGCCCAGUCGCAAUCCUCGACAGGAAGUUGAAGGAUUUGAGAAACAAGAGGGUGGAGCUAGUGAAGGUGCAAUGGCAGCACCGCAAGGGUUCGGAAUGGACUUGGGAGCCGGUGGAAGAUAUGAUGGAGCAUUACCCCGAGCUGUUUCAGGAUUGAGCAGCAGAUUUCGAGGACGAAGUCUAAAAUAAGUGGGGGUGAUUUGUAGCACCUGGUUCCUGGUACGUAAAUCUUGUUUGAGUAAUUUCCAUUUUUUAGCCUUGGACUCGGCGAGUCAUAGGUCCGACUAGCCGAGUAGAGACGGGACCCGGGACAUGUUUAAGUAGGCGACUCGACGAGUCCAUAUCCUGGACUCGGCGAGUCACUGCUUUUGAUGAAACCCUAAGUUACAGGGGUUUGCACCCUAUUUAAGCCCUCAUUUCCGCCCCAAGCCAGCCCCCUUCACCCUCAGGAGCUCUCCAUACGUUCUAACCCCUUGUUCUUGUGAGUUUGAGGCCUUUUGUGUGUUUUCUUGAAGAUUUUGAGAAGGAGGAGGAGUAGAUCAAGAGGAAGGGAAGGAAGUCAAGCAUCUUUGUGUUCUCUCAGUAAUUUCUUGGAGGUAUAACUCGUUUUCCCUCUGUUUCUAUGCUUGUUACUCCAUUAAAGUCCUUCUUGAGCCCUUCCCCAAGCUUGCAUGUGCAAUAUAAUUCGUAAUAAGCUGAUUGGCCUCUAGAUCUAGGCAUGGUUGAGCUCCAGGAGCUCAGAUCUACUGCCUUUAUGGACCCAUAUUGCAUAAAGACCCUAGAUCUACUCAUUUGGUGCAUUUUGAACCCUAAAACUCUCAUUGGUGAAUAUCUACACGUAAAGUUGGAAACUUUACGUGUUAUUCAUGCUCUAGGAACCCAGAUCUGUGGAUAGCAUAAGCUGGAUUCAAGCAGAAUCCAGCAUAUACUGAUUGCAUGGUAACGACUCGGUGAGUCGUUCAUCUGACUCGGUGACUCUGCUCGCGAGUCUCCGAGUUUGUCCCCUUUUCGUUGUUUGAGUGGGAGUGGUGAGUCACGGGGUGUGAUUCAGUGAGUUGGAAGCCAAACUCAUCCAUGGAGGAACUCGGCGAGUCAAUGCCCUGACUCGGCGAGUUCAAGGCAAUCUCCUUAGAUCAAGAACAAACUCUGCGAGUUGUUUAUACAACUCGGCGAGUCGCAGCAUAUGUGUUCUUCGGAUGAAGAUGAACUCGGCGAGUAGGAUGAAGGACUUGAACCUCGGUUUAGAAGGAGAACUCGUCGAGUCAACGUCUAACUCGACGAGUAGGGACGGGAUCUAGGGCAAUCGAUUGGAUAGGGACUCGGCGAGUUGGAGAGCCAACUCGGCGAGUCGGGUCAACUGAAAGUUGACUCUGAUUUUGACUUAGGGCUAGACCAGGGGUAAAAUGGUCUUUUUACCCAAAGGACAGUUAGCAGUGAUUGAUUGAGUAUGUUGUGGGAAUUGCAGCCGGAGGAUUUCCGGAGCAGCAGCAGCAACAGCAGUAGGCAGUCAGUUCCCAACCAGAUCAGCAGCUACUUCGAGGUGUAUUACCUUCCAAUAGCGGUGGGUCUACGGCCACAAUGUCGGCCCACCAGUAGGAGUUGUAUGUGGAUGAUUGUCUCCGUGAUAUUCAUCUAGGGUUACUACUACCUGUGCUAUGUUUAUGUGCUAGUAUGAUAUGAUGCUAUGUGUUAGUGGCAGUAGGGGAGAUAGUCCCCAAGAUAACCGGUCGAUAGGGCCGAAGGGGUAGUUAUACCCAGCCAUGCUAGAUAGAUUCUGAUAUUGUGGUACAUGUUAUGUGGUAGUAGUAGAGGGGAGAAGUAGUCUCCAGUACCCAGUGGAGAGGACCGAAGGGGAGGCCAGCACCCAGAUAUGCUAGGCAGUAUCCGGUCGAGAGGACCGAAGGGGGAGGCCAGCACCUAGGUAUGCUAGGCAAUAUCCGGUCGAGAGGACCGAAGGGGUAGGUCGGGCACCCAGAUAUGCCUG
rnacentral:lncRNA from 1 species